rnacentral:sRNA from 1 species
GCUGGGCACAGUGGUGCAUACCUGUAAUCCCAGUGAUUUGCGAGGCCGAGGCAGGAGGAUUGCAAGUUCAAGGCCAGCCUGGGCAACUUAGCAAGACCCUGUCUCAA